rnacentral:lncRNA from 1 species
ACCAGGCAAGCGCUUAACUGAAGUCAUCACUUAUAUGCAAUGCAAUCUGGAUUUCCACACAGCCAAGGAGGGGCAUAUCCUGCGGUCCAACACUGGCGUGCUCUUACAUCAUUUCAAGACAACAAUGUUACACCUGUACCACUGGUUCACCCUGCAAAUGGAAUACAAAAUAACGUGGUAGCCACUCAAUAUCCUGGGGAGCUCAGAGUGUCUUACAAUCCAGCUCAGUGGCAGCAAGACAAUACACAAUCGCAACAACAUUUCCAAGGACUCUACCACCAACUGGAGUCACAAGCAAGCAAUGCUUUCCGUUAUUCAUCAGCACAUGCCUCUGCCCAACACGGCGAUUCUUUUGGUACAUCUGCUAAUGAGAACUCUGUAAGGCAGUCUGUUUAUAACACCAGACAGCAAAGGGAAUGUUCCAAACAAAAAGGGUCAAAUUGGAACACAAGUAACUGUUCUGCAGCACUUCAGGGAGACACAUUUGGACACCGAGCACAGACUUUACAGGAUCAGUUGUCUUCUGUGCCCGAGAGUCACCCAUUGUUGUAUGCUUUACUGAAAGGAAACUGUGAGAGUGAGCAAGUGAAAAGUUCACUAGCUGCUAUAAACUGUGGAAAGACUAGUACAAAAAACCUGGAUUAUUCAGGAGGAACCCAUUCUGUUCCCUGUCAGCAGCAGGUCUCGUCCCCACCUUCACAGACAUCCACAGAAAACAUCUCACCAGCAGGAGAAAUGGUACCAUCUACAAAUGAUCCAAUAAACAAUAUCAUUUUAGAAAAGGUGUUAUAUUUUAGGGGCAUUUUACAAAACAGAAAUUAUGGGCACAAAUGCAAUAAGGGAUGCAGUGUUGCCUCUGACAAAGAAGAUGUGAAGAGGCAAAGCCUUAACUGUGCUGGGUUUGAACAGUCCACUGCUGCAGUUGGACAAGCACCUGAAGAGGAAAGUUCAAGGAGCAGCAAAGAAAAUACUGAGUUAACUUCUACAUCUGAAGACACAGAAUAUCCACAAAUUAUGGUGAAAGUUGCUGCCACUUGCGCAAAGAAUGAAGAUGAGAGUCCAGUGGUUCUCACCACAGUGCCUGGAGUUACCUUUGAUGAACUGACUGAGAAGCACCCAAGUUCAACGCGCAACAGCGGAUCAUCACAAGAAGAAAAUAAGUCUCUCAGGUUAAAUAUUAACAAGAAUUUGGAUGACCAAAUGGCCGGUGUUUCUUGGGCUCUGAAACCCAUGACGGAGAGGGAGAAAGGAGGCCUAAAACCAGUGGAGACAGUAGGGUUGGACAAUGUGCAAGGUGUGACAGAUGUCUCCGAUCUUCAAACCAUGUCAUGUUCAGGGGUAUUUGAAAACGAAACAUUUGAACACACAUCAUUCACUGAAACAGAUGCAUAUAAGAAAAGGAUGAAAGAAGUUGAAGACCAACAGCACUGUGAAGUUAUCUGUAAGGAAGUAAUUAAACAUUCCAAGCUAAAUUCAUCAAUUGACAAUAUUCGGAUUGAUAAUGUUCUGUCAAUUCCCGGAACAAGUCAUGGAGGUGCGAGAGAGGAUGCAGGCUCUGUGCAUAUACUAACUGAUGUAAGCAUAGCACUUUCUGAAAACAAAGUUGAAGAACACUCAUGUCCAUCUAAAAGUGAGGGCGAGGAAGCACUCUCUGUGAUAAAUCUACAAUAUGAAGAAAUUUCAGAUGAUGAAGGCAUAUCUCAACUGGCCACAGAACUUCCAAAAACAGAGCACAAGGAAUUAAGCUUUCAAGUAAGUUUUGGAAAUCCACAGUAUGAAGAUAUAAGUGAAGAUGACAAUACACAGACUGAAAAUAUGGCCAUGGAGGUGUCUUCAUUUACAGUACAUGAACCAAACAAUAAGCAGGCCCCAUUUGAAAAUGAAAGCUAUGGACAUAUGCAAGGUCAGGCUCAGAUGCAGACAGAAAUCAUCUCAGAUGAGGAACUGAUUCCAAAGAAGGUGGUUUCACCAGUGACCGAAACACUUGAUAUAGCGCAUUGCCCUAGUCCAUGUUCUGAUGACUGGAUGGUUAUACCUAUAAGCAUGGCUGACCUUAAAUUUGAACCAGAAGAUGAAGACCUGGGUGGCCCAGAAGAAGUUGUGCUAAAUGAUGGCGGUGAAACAGUAAAGAAAGAAACACAGUGUGUCACAAGUCCAACACGCUGUGAGUUACAAUGGCCAGCUCUAGAGGCCUUUGACACCGUUGCUAGCUUUCUACAACAAAAAGGUGUACAAUUUAAAACAUUAGCGGUAGUACCUGCCACAAGCGCACCAGAAAAUGACCCGGACUGUGAGAAAGAACCACAUACGCCUCAGGACAGAAGAGCGUCAUACCCUGAGUCUGAAGACAGCUGUGAAACUGAGGACAGCUGUGAUUACUCAUCUGACUCAGAACACAACAUUUUGACUGUGUCCACGCAGAGGCCAGUACCUCCCCAGCCUAAUGAAAGUUGUGAUACAGAGAACAGUUGUGAUUACCCAGCUUCUCUGUCCCCACCUCUGUCUGUUGAGUCUGUGUCUGAGGAUGAUGAUGAGGAUGAUGAUACAGAUGUGCAAAAAGGCCAAACCAGGUUCAAGCAGGUUCAACAUAAAAAGAAUGGACAAAUUAUAGACACAAUAAUCAUUGAUUCUGACACAGAGGAUGAAAGUGACGAACACUAUAAAAAGAAGGCAAAAGCAAAGAGGUUAUUUACUUCAGGCUCAGAUGACAGUGAAGAUGUACCAUUUAGUCAACAAAAUAGACAUUCACCUCAAACUGUGGACAGUCCGUGUGGAACUGUGGGUGAAGUAGUGAUGCAGGAUGAAUGCUCUGAGAGUGUUCAACAUAACGGACAAAUUUCUAAAAACGAAGAUGUAAUAAACCUUGUCUCUGACACAGAGGAUGACGAGGACAAAAACGUCUCCCCAUGUGUUCAACAAAAGAGACAAUCACCUCAAGCUAUGGAAGAGUAUGGAACGUUCAGAGGAACCAGACUGUUCUUUGCAGACUCCUCACUGACACAGCAUCAGUCUAAACUGGUGUCAGAAGAAAGAAAGAAGGCAAACCCAAAGAUAAUACGCUCAUCAGGAUCAAAGGACAGUGAUGCUACAAAAAUCAGACCUCCAGCUGAAACUGUGGACCGUCUUUGUGGAAUUGCCAAGAAAAAACCUAAAACAUCCAAACUGUCAUCUGAAGAUUCACAAAAGAUGCAUUCCCUUUCUGCAGACAAUGAGGCAGAAUCCACUUUGGGUCCUACUCCUGUGGUUCCUCGCCUUUUUGUUCUUAAGUCUGCUCAACCUAACAACUUGAAACUUUCAAAAGAAUCCAGAGACAACAUGCAUGGUGAUGGUAAAACUCAGGCUCCAAAGACUGGAACCAGCAAAAAGACAGACUUCUGUGAAAACAGUACACAGUAUCCCAUCAUAAAAAAACAAGUAAGAUUUGUGUUCAAACCAAAACCUCCAAAUGACAGACACCGUGCAACAAAGAAUAUAGUGCAGACCAAUGUAGCAAAACCCAUACUGGUUUCAAGACCACAAUCAUUACCUGACCAGGAAGGCCCAUCAACCUCCAGCGGUUGCUCAUCUUCCACUAGCGGACAACAUUCUGAAGCCAGACAAAGCCCCUCCUCGUCUAGAGCCUUGUCUCAGUCUGGAAAAACCUCCGCCUCCUCCAGUCUUCCAAGACAACAGUUGUCCUCAUCCAAACUGCAGCGGUCGAACAGCAACCCUUCAACAUUAGAUCAUCAUAACACUCCCACCGAAGGUCCUUCAUUUUCUGCAACCAGGCAGUCUUCAGCAAAGAAACAAGUGAAGAAAGCCUGGGAGAGUAGCCAUGUCCCAACAAGGAUAUACAGAAAAAGUUACCCGGGGACUGAGGAAGACUCGGGAACCCCAAAAUAUAAUUUGGUCAAUGAUGCAAGACUGGGACAUAUUCAUGACUGGGUACCCAGACGGAGGCACGGCUCCAAUGAGUCUACACCCCACCUGUUGAAGAAGUCAAAGUCUGAUGCCAUACAGUGGACAAGGGCCACAAAUCGAGACACGGCAAACAAACAAAGAUCGUCUGCUGUGAGCAAAGGUUACAAGUGGUCAGAGAAGCCAACAGUGGCUAAACCAACAAGAAGGUACCGGAGGUAAGGCAAGAAAUGUAGAACUUCACAGAGACCCCCAUCUGUGGAAAAAAGGUGCCACUGUUGAACUCCCACAGGGUCAGGUGGUUGAGGGGCUGUUGUAGCUGAUUGUGUCUUUCAUUUUCCAGAGCAUUUGGAUUUGGGUGUAGUACAAUGACAUACUACGUUGUACCUAAUAUCAGUGACUACCUGUACUGUACCUGUAUUAUACCUAGACUAUAUUGUACCUAUAUUAUAAAAACUGAAUAGUCUGUAUUUUAAGUAACUACUUACUGUAUAUGUAGAUACACAUACUGUAAAUACUAUAUAUUAUAUCUUUUUGCAGUUAUGUUAUUGUGUGUGAAUGUUGCGGCGUCAACUGAAAACCAAUAUUCUUUUUAUCAGCUACCUCAAAUUGUGUGAAGAUUACAGCAUUAUGCUGUUGCAUUUUUUUCUUUGAAUUCUGUAUAAACUUAUAGAUAUUUUAAUGCUAUUUUUUUUAUUAUUCACAUUCCUUACCCAUUUCAAGUGUUUCAACUGUUUUUGUACUUUGAAAACUCCGCUUUGAUUGCUACUACUAUUUCCUAUGGGCAAUGUUGUGUUCGUUUUUAUAAAGUUAAUGUCACAAUGCAUAGUCUAAUGGAUUUAUUGUUGUCCACUUUGUGUAUACUUCUGAUUCACCACUAGAGGGAGACAUUGCUAUAUACAUUGCACCUACAGUUGCUCUCCAUUUUAAGUGAUGCAAACCAAUGCCUGUGUUAAACCCUUAUAUAAACUGUCAAUGGUUAAACCAUUAUAUUGUGACUGGUCAGAUUCAUCAUCAGUCAUCUGAACAGGAACAGCAGUGGCAGCUAUAUUGAAAUUCUCAUCAUGUUAUAUUGGCAGCUUUAAAAUUGCGUCUCCAUCGUAUUGUCAUACAUUUCAGCAGUUGUGAUAGCCGAAGCUGGUGUUGAUCAGUGGAGCCAUAUCUGUCAAUAUUUAGUCAAUCCUUCAAUCUUUUUCUUAAAAGUUGACCAUUCAUUGCAUUGCAUCAUAAAAUGGAUCUGUUGGAUUUUUGUGUAAUGGCUGUAAUAUAUGAAACUAUUGGGUUUAUAUCCAUGUCUGUAAGUAUGCACUUGUUUUGCACAGAAUAAGAAGUAAAAAGUUGAAAUUUCAGUCACCUAUGUCAACCCUGAAUUUAAUUUGUACAUUAGAAUGACCUAGAUGUUUCCUAAAGG